AUAAGCCAGAAAGUAGUAAAAUAUUGCCUAUGUAGUUUUGUCCCUGCAUAUGCCCCUCCCUUUCCCUUCAGAACGUUCUAAGGAGAGAGGAGAGCUCAGAGUAAACAAGUUAGGUCAUUGGUAUCAUCUAUGCCAAGGUAGGUUUGGAAGGUGAGAAAGACACUCAGCCAUUGGUCAAUUCUAGAUAAGGCCGAGAUAUAAAAAUCCUUUGUUUGCUUGGCACAUGUGCAGCAGCCAUUUGCAUUGUGCAGCCCUCUGGAGUAUGUACAGCUGUCCGCCUUCACAUAGCUAUGUGAAAAUAAACUUUGCUUUUUGCAUCUCUCGCGAGACUGGGUUUCUCUGCCUGAUUUUCCCUCCUGAGCCAGGACCCUUUGAAGCAUUUUAAAAAGCAAGAGAUCUUGAUAAGCAAGAAAAGAAGGAGAGAGAAAUGUUGAUAAAAAAAAUCCCCUCUCAAAACCUUUAAGUCAAAAGAGAUUGGACAAGGAAAGGACAAGGAGAAGAGUUAUUGGCCGUAGAAUACAAUGACAAAAUUGCUACUAUCAGGUAACAUAAUCUAUCUAUCUAUCUAUAUAUAUAAAAGAGUGAUGGAAUCCUGGCGACCGACAAAACAACAAAACUAAAGGCCCCCCAACCUUGAAAUUUGACAACACAACCCAUCAUCCACGCCUCUAGGUUGAUACAACAAAAAGAAAAGAAAAAUAAAGUCCUAAUUAGAGGAAUAAUUGUUUUUUAUCCCAUUGCUACCAUUUAGAAGGCUAAGCUCUGCCCACUUGAUCUCCUAGCAACCUACUCAGCCCAGGGGACAGGCACAGUUAGGCCUCACUUCCACACUGCCUAGAAAAUACAGAUUAUCAGAUUUUUAACUGGAUUAUAUGGCAGUGUAGACUCAAGGCCCUUCCACACAGCUAUAUAACUCAUUUAUCAUAUUAUCUGCUUUGAACUGGAUUAUCUUGACUCCACACUGCCAUAUAAUCCACUUCAGUGUGCAUUUUAUCCAGCUGGGUAGAAGGGGCCUCGUAUAAUCCAGUUCUAAGCAGAUAAUAUAAGAUUAUAAAUAUACAAUACAGUCUCACUUAUCCAACAUAAACAGGCCAGCAGAACGUUGGAUAAGUGAAUAUGUUGGAUAAUAAAAAGGGAUUCAGGAAAAGACUAUUAAACAUCAAAUUAGGUAAUCAUUAUACAAAUUAACCACCAAAACAUCAUGUUAUACAACAAAUUUGACAGAAAAAGUGGUUCCAUGUGCAGUAAUGCUAUGUAGUAAUUACUGUAUUUACAAAUUUACCACCAAAAUAUCACAAUGAAUUUAAAACACUGACUAUAAAAACAUUGACUAUUAAAAGGCAGACUGCGUUGGAUAAUCCAGAACAUUGGAUAAGUGAAUGUUGGAUAAAUGAGAUUCUACUGUAAUAUGAAAUAAUUACUGUGGUAGAAUAAUACACAACAAUAUAAUCUCUAAAAGCAGGACAGUAAAUAGAGAGCAACACUCUGAAAGCAGGGAAAUUGGGAAUUCCACAAAGGAAACAAUCAGGGCCAGCUAACAACUCCCAAGAAAGAAUUCUUCCAGAAAGGAAGCUGACAAGGGAGUGAAGCAGCGUGUAUUACCAAAGUCAUUAUUAUUACUAUUACUAUUAUUAUUGUGUUGCUGUGAACUGUGAAAAUGAAUACAAUCUGCCUCCAAGUAUUCAAAAACACUAACAUCAGAAUAUAUAAAAAUUAAUGUGGUAUAAUAAAACAGAACAAUACAAUCUCUAAAAUCAGAACACUAAAUAAAGAACAACACUCUGAAAACAGGGGAAUUCCACACAGGAAACAAUCAGGGCCAGCUAACACCUCCCAACAAAGUAUUCCCAUCAUCAAACUCUGGCAAAUCCUCUGUUUUCUCAGGGCCACAGACAGUAGAAACACAUAAAAUAUCGCAAAGUACACCACUCUGAAAACAAGGGAAUUCCAGACAGGAAACAAUCCGGGCCAACAAAAAAUUCACUCAGGGAGGAAACAGCCAGGCUUUAAAGCUGCAAGGACAUUACAUCCUAAUCAUUUUCCCUAAUUGCAGAAUUCAUACUUGCCUCCAACAGACAAAAAAACCAAUCAGAAAUAUUGUAUAUUCACAACCUUUAGGAAAUAAUAUCCCCUGAUGUUAAAGCACUGAGCUGCUGAACUUCUGGACCAAAAGGCCACAGGUUUGAAUUGGGGGAGCGGAGAGAGCCCCCACUGUUAGCCCCAGUUUCUACCAACCCAGAAGUUCGAAAACAUGCAAAUGUGAGUAUAUCAAUAGGUACUGCUCCGGCGGGAAGGUAACGCUGCUCCAUGCAGUUAUCCCACAUGACCUUGGAGGAGUCUACAGACAACGCCGGCUCUUGGGCUUAGAAAUGGAGAUGAGCACCAACCCCCAGAGACAGACAUGACUGGACUUAAUGUCAGGGGAAAACCUUAACUACCACCAAUUCCUCAAUACUUUAUUUCCCAUACCACCAUACUUCGCCACAGCAACGCAUGGCCGGGCACAGCUAGUAUCAUAUAUAAUAAUUCUUCAGGACAAAGGGGGAGAACUUGAGACUUGCUUAUGUGGGUCUGUACCCCUCUUCUUCUACAUGGACAGAUUUAACUUAAAGGGGAAAAAUGUGUGGACAGAGGCAUUUUAAGGACGAAAGAAUCUAGAGACAUGGCAGAUACCCAAGGCAAGAUUGUUACAAGGAUAGAAAUUGACUAUAAAGGUGCCUCACGAUAAAUUAUGGUCAAGGAAGUUAGACUCUGUAUGGAAAACCGCCACAAUGUGGCAGUGCAAGAGAAUAUUUUCGGAAAAAUAAAUAAAUGACCACACAUUCCUGACACAGGUAAAUUAAGAACUGACAUCGAUUUUUAAAUUUUGAUUGACAAAAAGGAACUAGCACUCUUUACAGUAGAUGCAAAAAAAAAUUGACACUGGUAGUGAUUUUCCCUGGAAAAAGGACUAUGCAUAAUAAUUUUGUAAAUUUUGGAUUCUGGACUUUGGCCCAGCUCUUUCUAAAAGGUUACCCAAAGGGAGGAUUAGAACUUCUGUAAACGGGACAUUAGAUCAUGCAAAUAGGGGCGUUUUUUCCAUCGGCCCCAGCCUGGAUUUUGCCAGACUUGAGAGGCGGCAGGAGGCUUUUCAAAUGUGUUGUUAUUAACAAACUUUGAUUUGUUAAAGCUGAAGAAAAAGAAUGUAGCAACGAGACGGUGUGAAAGGGGAAUUGAGUAAGUUUAACACUGCAGCAGGACUGAAGUGGAAGAUUGCAUUGCAGCAAGUGAACGAUAGACGAUCGUUAAAUUGUUUGUGAAAAAAGAUGCGGAGAAGAAAGAUUUUGUCGGGAUUCCAAGAUAGAUGAGUGUGUUGUCGAAGGCACAACCUCUGAGGAGGCUUGCCAUGGAUGUGGGCGAGACGUCUAGAGAGAGUGCUUUUGAAGCCAUACAGCCUGGAAGGAUAAGUAUUUCCCUCCCCUUCUUUUCCCUCUCAUUGUUUUUGCUAGUCUCUUACAGGUCCUGUUCCUAAAAUGGAAAUCCAUAAGGCAUUGUUACUGAGAGGCCUGAUUUGGGAUACAAACAAACAAACAAACAUAGGAACCUAGUUGUACCUCAUUGGAUGGAUAUGACGAACUAGAGGCUUGGGACUCGGUGUUGCUGAAGGACGGGAGAACCGAGCCACUCCAACCCAGAUGGAAGGGCCCAUGGGAGGUGUUGCUGACUGCUCCUUCUCCAGACGACACACUGCGACUCCAGUUUCGUAGGAAUCCGGAGCAGGAACGACCUGAGCAACAAGCCUCUUCCCAUGGGGGAGACACAGUCCAGAGCAGGAACGACACAAGUCAAGAAAUUCCUACUCUAGAGAGAGUCGGAGGCCUAUGGCCAAACACAACUGAAUCCAGAUCACAAGAUCCCCUUCACCUUGAUUCCAAACAUCCCACUCCUGGCAGACCACUUACAGCACAUUCAUCCUACAAAACAUACAGGGUGCCACCAGUGUACGUUAGUAGAAAAACACAAGGAAGAAGUGGCAGCUUGGAUGGCUGAACCUGGCAUUCCCCUAGACAGUGUACAGAUACAUGGGGAAGGACAAGGCCAAUAAGUCAGUAGACCUUCUAACUGUUGGCAUCAUACCAGGGGAUCUAGUGACAGGAAGAGAACUCCUGGAACUGACACUUAAGUUUAGAAGGCAUUCUCGUAUACAUCCCACAUUAUUGCCUAGUUGCCCUGUUAGUAAAAUCCUAAGGCCCUAUAGCACAAGAAGAGGGCCCCCAAAAACCCUUCCAGAUGCUUUGCUCUUUGCCUACUUGGAGACAACCGUGAGUUGGAAUCAGACCCAGAGCCCCAGAGGACUAUCUGUCAUCCCCUGAAAGUUGGGGUUUUUGGGAUUCUGAUCCAGAUACAUCUGAACAUGGGGACUCUUAACUCAAACACACCACCUAUAAGUGCUAGGCCCUGUUGCAUGACAUAGGACUUGGACCUAGAAAGCUCAGAGAUGGGGUCAAAUUCAUCAUUCUCCUUCUGGGAGACCGAGAAGGAAGAGGUGGAACAUCCCUACAACCUGAUGCACACUUGGUGCGAGUGGACUGGGGUCACCCUGAUACUAUUUCUCCUCGUAGCUUUGGCUAUACUCUACUGCAGGGGUCCCCAAACUACGGCCCGCGGGCCAUCAAAGCCAUUUAUCCGGCCCCCACGGCACAAAGGCAGAACAGGGUUGGACUAAAUGGCCCAAGGAGUCUUCCAAUCCUCAUCCUCCUCCUCCUUAUUAUUAUUAUUAUUAACAUUGAGGCUGGGUGGUCAUCUGACAUGGGUGCUUUGCUUGUGCUUUUGGUGCACAAAGGCAGAAGGCGUUGGGCUAAAUGGCCCAAGGGGUGUCUUCCAACCCUCUUCUUCUUCUUUUUCUUCUUCUUCUUCUUCUUAUUAUUAUUAUUGCUGCUUGGUGGCCAAGUAUAGUCCGGCCCUCCAGCAGUCUGAGGAAUUGUGAACCGCCCCCCUGUUUAAAAAGUUUGGGGAUCCCUGCUCUACUGCUAUCAUGAACAUCGCUAUUUCUUUUGUUUGAGACUUGGGGCCAGUCACCCUUUGGGGCAGGUGGAAAGAAAUUGGACCAAGAGACAUGCUUGUUAUAUGUUUGAACAACAUGGCAAAGGCACUGUUCCAGUGUUUGUUCAUCCUGACAUUGUGGGAACUUUCUCCUUUCUGCCUGCUUUGAUUGGGGAACCACAGGUGGUCUUGGGGAGAAUGCGGGGUAUCAUGCAGGCCCCAAGACUUGCUUUUCAAGUGUAUCAGAUGGAGCUGGAUGGCACUAGAUUCAGAAAACUGAGAUAUAAAGUCACAACCCUUGGAAUGUGUUUUUGCUGUGAAAGCCAGUGAACUUAGAGCUCUAAAUGGUGUGACUGGGAGAAGAGGGUGAAUUUCUUUGAAGGGUUUGCAGGGCUGUGCUCAUUGUUUGGACUGUUUUUAUCUGCAGACAGGAUGUAAAAAUGCUAGUUAAGCACCAAUUCAAAGCUUAUCUGACGCGAACUGAAAGAUUUUUACUGCUGAAUUGUUAGACUGUUUGGUUAUGACUGCCACUGAUUUUGAUUGUUAGCUUGAUAGCUUUCAUUUGCUUGUGUUAUUGCAAUUGUAUGUUGUUGAAUUGGUUAGCCCUUACAGCCUGCAGCCUGAUGCCACAUCCCAUCACAGCAGAAUGGGAGAGGAAUACACUAUGCAAAUUGGUAAAUUCCAUGGCAGAAAGAUUGCAAACACAGGACUGUUGGGCAUGUUCACAUGUCUUUCAAAUCACAAUUAAGGCUGGCACAUUACGGCAGGUCCAUGCUUAACCCUACGAGGGAGGAACACCGCAGACCUGCAGACAGCACCGCAUUCUAACCUGCCUUCCAUAAGAAGUUGCUCCUUAAUGUGAAGAGAAACAUUUUCAUACACCUAAGAACCAGCCUGCUUUCUAAACACCACAGACAACGGAUCAUGCAGAUCCCAGUCAUUUUGUUUUGAGGAGGGGAGGCCUUCAUCCCCUUUUACCCCUUUUUACAUCCCUUGGCUCAGCUCAAACCUCACUGGACCCCCAUAAUGACCAUGCUCAAAUACCCUAGAUGUGACUUCAUUGCAUUCCUGACAGAUAUACAGGACACAGGCAGAUGCAACCAAACAGAACUUGACAUGUGCAGGCAACACAUUACACUGAUACAUGAAGAUGCUGACAAGAUUAGUUCAGGACGGGACUAGGUUUGUGGAAGUUAGGCAGGAAAGACACUGCCACAUUCUAGAAUGGCACAUGCACAAUUGGAACUUUAAUUCUUGCAGGACGGAAAUCCUUUGACAUACAACAACCACCUGGGCCAGAGUUAAAAGGGCACACAGUGACACAUACAAUCUUGUUUGGUAUUAAACAUUAGACAAGUCUGGCACAUUGCAGUGCAACUAAAGAAACUGGUAAACUGCGAUGGAAGGUUUGCAAUCCCUUCAAAUGGGACCAGGCUCUCUAGCCAAACCCCGAAUGCAGUACAGAUUGACAUUAGACAAAAACACAACUUGUCAUUCAGCACAAAUUAAGAAAGAUAUAUCCAGGAGACACCAGAUGACAAACACAAUAUACACACAGAACUCAAAUUAGUAGGGUCCUCUCACUUUUUGACUUCCUAACCUACAGUGGGCAAAGGCUGUUGUAGUUGGGCCAAGGGGCAGUAAUGGUUCUAUGUGUGAAACAGCUGGAAGGAGAAAAAGGGCUAUUAGAGAGCAGGUGCUUGAUGAAGAACAAGUAAAGCGGGUGCAGGAAAUACUUAUGGCUCCUUCAGAGGAUGAGACGUUUUGUGGGUUUUCUAGUGAUGAGGAGUCCAUGCUGGAGGAGGAUGGUUUCACAGAGAGUAGAGGAACUAAAAGGUCUACUCAAGAGCAGGAGUCGGAUGAGGAAAGAGAAAGGAAAAAGAUCCGGGAUAUACUCACUGCUUCCACAGAUGAGGAGACAUUUGAGGGGUUCUCUGGGAAUGAUGGGUCUGGGAGUGAGAUAGAGAAUGUUGAUUGGACUCAAGUAAAUGUGGAUGAUGAGCUAGCUCAUGGGGCUGCAUCAGGGGAUUGGCAAGCCUCUCAUACUCCUGGGACAUGGGGAGAUCUAAGUCUUGAACGAAGAUGGAGGGACUGGAGGCAAGGUCCACAAAUGAGAUCAAGAUCAGCUGUGGAUGAUGAGGACAGGGUGGAGGCCUCAUCAGCAUCGGACUCCGAUGAGUAAGUUAAAAGUGGAGUUUCAAGAGCUAUUGCCUUGCAGAAGGCAAGGUGUCAUUUUGGGGACAUUACUUUGUCGCUGCCUGUUCUCCUUGGGUCCUGGCUGUACAGCUUCCUGAUAAUCUGGAUUGAAUCCUGCUUUGAUGUUCCUGGCUUCUGACUCCUGACAAUGACGUUUCCAGUUUGGCGUUUCCAGUUUGGCAUUUGCUUUGGCGUCCCUGCUCCAAUGUUUCCAGUUUGGCGUUUGCUUUGCCGUUCCUGCUCCGGUGUUUCCAGCUUGGCGUUGGCUUCAGCGUUCCUGCUCUGGCGUUUCCAGUUUGGUGUUUGCAUUGCCAAAGUAGGUGUGGAAGGUGAGAAAGACCCUCAGCCAUUGGUCAAUUCUAGAUAAGGCCAAGAUAUAAAAAUCCUUUGUUUGCUUGGCACAUGUGCGGCAGCCAUUUGCAUUGUGCAGCCGUCUGGAGUAUGUACAGCUGUCCGCCUCCUCAUAGCUAUGUGAAAAUAAACUUUGCUUUUUGCAUCUCU